rnacentral:rRNA from 1 species
GGAUUAGAUACCCUGGUAGUCCACGCCGUAAACGAUGACAACUAGCCGUUGGGGGCCUUGAGCCUUUAGUGGCGCAGCUAACGCGAUAAGUUGUCCGCCUGGGGAGUACGGCCGCAAGGUUAAAACUCAAAUGAAUUGACGGGGGCCCGCACAAGCGGUGGAGCAUGUUGUUUAAUUCGAUGCAACGCGAAGAACCUUACCACCCCUUGACAUCCUCGGAACUUGGCAGAGAUGCCUUGGUGCCUUCGGGAACCGAGUGACAGGUGCUGCAUGGCUGUCGUCAGCUCGUGCCG